AUUAAUAAUUUAGAAUAUUAAAUUUAUAUGAAUUUUUAGUUAGUUAGAGUU
rnacentral:rRNA from 1 species